AUGAGCUGGGCCGUCCUCCCUCGAAGGGGCCCUGCAGCGCCCCUCCUCCCCUUCCCAGCGAGUCGGGCUUGUGGCCACAUCACUCCAGUCUCCUUUUGUGUCCUUUUCCCGGAGUGGCUGUUUCUUACCUCCCUCGCUGAGGGUGCUGAUGAGCCAAGCAAGAGAAGAGAAGGCAGGAGCUGCACGGGCAUUGCACAGCCACUCCCCGCAAGGACAUUGAUGCCUGAGCCCCACCUCCUCGCAGAUCAGCAACCGCUGUGGAUUCUCCUAGGAGUGCAGAUCCUACUGUGGACUGCACGCACGAGGGACGGAGGUUUUGCGCUCUUUGGAUCAUCCCCACACCACCAACCGCUGCUGCGGAAGAUUAUCUCCCGUGAGACCAAUUCCUGGUGCUGAAAAGGCCGGGGACCCCCUUCGGCUGCAACCGGUGACACUGGCUGGUGGCAGUGGGAGCGCCCUCAGGACACCCCGGCUCCUUAGGUCCCACAGAAUGGGGCGGAGGCCCUGGCAGCUGGAGAAAGCCCACCCAGAAGACAGAGCCGAGUUCCCCGAGGUCAUCGGUGCCCCAUGCAGGCUGGCGUGUGCGAAAGUCCUGGGUGCGUUCCUUCCUUCUAGAGUGACAUCCUCAGGGACACAUGGGCAGCCCUCAGCCUGGUCGCUGAUUCCACCCUUGACUGAUGGCCGGCCUGACAUCUUUCAGCAAGUGACCUUGUCGGGAACUCGAAUAUCUCUCAGUGUCAGAAAUAAUCAGCGGCACCCUGAGAUGCGGAAGCAGAGUUUAAGUUGAGCGCAGAUUAAUGGGGUUUUAAUAUUCCUAAUUUAAUCACUCCUUUCUGUUACACUGUGGGCAACAUGAUGUAGCAGCUAAUUAUUUUUUUAAACCAUGAUGAGGAUCUUUCCUAAUCAAUUUUAUAUUUAACACCAAUGAAGGGAGGGCAGUGAUUAAUGAGAGAAUAAAUCUCAGCAAACAGGCACGAG
rnacentral:lncRNA from 1 species